rnacentral:rRNA from 1 species
GAUGAACGCUGGCGGCGUGCCUAAUACAUGCAAGUCGAGCGAACAGAUAAGGAGCUUGCUCCUUUGACGUUAGCGGCGGACGGGUGAGUAACACGUGGGUAACCUACCUAUAAGACUGGGAUAACUUCGGGAAACCGGAGCUAAUACCGGAUAACAUUUGGAACCGCAUGGUUCUAAAGUGAAAGAUGGUUUUGCUAUCACUUAUAGAUGGACCCGCGCCGUAUUAGCUAGUUGGUAAGGUAACGGCUUACCAAGGCGACGAUACGUAGCCGACCUGAGAGGGUGAUCGGCCACACUGGAACUGAGACACGGUCCAGACUCCUACGGGAGGCAGCAGUAGGGAAUCUUCCGCAAUGGGCGAAAGCCUGACGGAGCAACGCCGCGUGAGUGAUGAGGGGUUUCGGCUCGUAAAACUCUGUUAUUAGGGAAGAACAAAUGUGUAAGUAACUGUGCACGUCUUGACGGUACCUAAUCAGAAAGCCACGGCUAACUACGUG